AUUGCCCUAGUAACGGCGAGUGAAGCGGCAAUAGCUCAAAUUUGAAAUCUGGCCCUCGGGUCCGAGUUGUAAUUUGUAGAGGAUGCUUUUGGCGCAGUGCCUUCCGAGUUCCCUGGAACGGGACGCCUUAGAGGGUGAGAGCCCCGUACGGUUGGACACUAAGCCUCUGUAAAGCUCCUUCGACGAGUCGAGUAGUUUGGGAAUGCUGCUCUAAAUGGGAGGUAAAUUUCUUCUAAAGCUAAAUAUUGGCCAGAGACCGAUAGCGCACAAGUAGAGUGAUCGAAAGAUGAAAAGCACUUUGAAAAGAGGGUUAAAUAGCACGUGAAAUUGUUGAAAGGGAAGCGUUUGCGACCAGACUUUUUCCUAGCGGAUCAUCCGGUGUUAUCACCGGUGCACUUUGCUAGGUUGAGGCCAGCAUCGGUUUUCGUAGGGGGAUAAAAGCCUGGGGAAUGUAGCUCCCUCGGGAGUGUUAUAGCCCCUCGUAUAAUACCCUUACGGGGACCGAGGACCGCGCUUUUUGCAAGGAUGCUGGCGUAAUGGUUGUCAACGACCCGUCUUGAAACACGGACCAAGGAGUCGAACAUUUGUGCGAGUGUUUGGGUGUCAAACCCUCACGCGUAAUGAAAGUGAACGGAGGUGAGAGCCCUCACGGGUGCAUCAUCGACCGAUCCUGAUGUCUUCGGAUGGAUUUGAGUAAGAGCAUAACUGUUCGGACCCGAAAGAUGGUGAACUAUGCGUGGAUAGGGUGAAGCCAGAGGAAACUCUGGUGGAGGCUCGCAGCGGUUCUGACGUGCAAAUCGAUCGUCAAAUCUGCGCAUGGGGGCGAAAGACUUAUCGAACCAUCUA
rnacentral:rRNA from 1 species